AUUGUCCUAUCACAGCCUCUCAAGUAGCUUGGACUGCAGGAAUAAAGCUGAAGACACUGAAAAUCAACAACUUUUCUGGGACCCUUCGGACAACUGCAGUCACAAGGUAAACUACCAUUUUUAAAUAUGGAGACAGAGGAAUACAGAGUACAACUGACAUCAGCUUACCUGGAGCAGGAACCACGGAACUAAAAAGUGGAUGGAUCACCUGAAUGGCUAACUAAUUGGAAGUUCACAGACUGUUCAUAUCCUCUCACAAUAUUCAAACUGGUGAAAUCUUCAUACUGACAAACCAUCAUAAUU
rnacentral:lncRNA from 1 species